CCCUUAGAUGUUCUGGGCCGCACGCGCGCUACACUGAUGCAUUCAACGAGCCUAUCCUUGACCGACAGGUCCGGGUAAUCUUUGAAUCUGCAUCGUGACGGGGAUAGAUUAUUGCAAUUAUUAAUCUUCAACGAGGAAUGCCUAGUAGGCGCAAGUCAUCAGCUUGCGUCGAUUACGUCCCUGCCCUUUGUACACACCGCCCGUCGCUCCUACCGAUUGGGUGUGCUGGUGAAAUGUUCGGAUCGGCCGUUUGUCGCGGUUUCCGCGGCUCGUGGCUGAGAAGUUCAUUAAACCCUCCCACCUAGAGGAAGGAGAAGUCGUAAC
rnacentral:rRNA from 1 species